GUCUACCCAUUAAAAAAUAUUUCUAAAUAUAAAUUUAAAAUAAUUAUUCUUUAAAUGAUAGAAGAUAAAGUUUGAAUUUUAAAAUACGUAACGGAGGGAGAGGGAGUAGCACUCUGUAAUUAUCCGUGAAAAAAAAGAAGGAAGCAAAACGAACAUGUGGGGAAAAAACUUGGAUUGAGUAGGGUGGGUUGGUCGGAAGUCCGACGGACGGGACGGGACGCGAGACGGUGCCGCACCGCCCGCCCGUUUUCUUCCUCAGCGCCGGCACGGCGGCACAUCCACUCCACCGCAACUGAGCCAUCUCUUCUCCUUCCUCCUCCGCGCUUCUGAAUGUGAGGAGGCUUACAACGCCCGGUCCCCCCUAAAUCCAAAUCCAGCUUCCGCUUUGCAGGGCACGACCCCCUUCGCAACUGACUGAGUCCAAAUCCAAAUCCAGUUACCCCACUCAACCUCUUUUGAUUUGAUUUCGCAGGAUCCAUCCGAGAACAAGCAGCCACUUCUCCGAUGCCGUCCUCAAUGGCCAAAUCCCUCCUCCUCCCUCCCCAGUUCGUCUCCGUCUCACCCCGCCACCCCCACCGCGCCGGAUUCCCCGUCCUCAAGCCCCGCCGCGCCUCGCUGCUGGCAGCCACCGGUGGAGACGUCACGCCCGCGCCGGACGCCGACAACGGCUCCAACACCAACCCUCUCGUCGAGGUGCCCCGCGCGCUCUGGCGCCGCACCCUGCAGCCUCUCGGCGACUAUGGCUUCGGCAAGCGCAGCGUCUGGGAGGGCGGCGUCGGUCUCUUCAUGGUCUCCGGGGCCGCCCUCCUCGCCCUCGCCCUCGCAUGGCUUAGGGGAUUCCAGCUCCGCUCCCGCUUCCGCAAGUACAACACCGUCUUCGAGUUCACGCAGGCGUGUGGCAUCUGCGUCGGCACGCCCGUCCGGAUACGAGGGGUCACCGUCGGCUCCGUCGUCCGCGUCGACUCCUCCCUCAGGAGCGUCGAUGCCACCGUUGAGGUUGGAGAUGAUAAGAUCAUCAUACCACGGAAUUCAGUGGUCGAGGUUAAUCAGUCGGGUCUUCUAAUGGAGACACUCAUUGAUAUCACACCCAAGGAUCCACUCCCUGCACCUUCAGUAGGACCACUUGACCCAGACUGCACCAAAGAAGGUUUGAUUCUCUGUGACAAAGAGAGGAUGAAAGGACAGCAAGGUGUAAGCUUAGAUGCAUUGGUGGGAAUAUUUACCCGACUAGGUAGAGACAUGGAGGAGAUUGGCGUUAGCAAAAGCUAUAAGUUGGCUGAAAAGGUUGCAUCUAUAAUGGAAGAGGCACAACCUCUUCUUACACGGAUUGAGGAUUUAGCUGAAGAAAUGCAACCUUUGCUCUCUGAAGUCCGUGAUAGUGAUCUGCUGAAGGAUGUGGAGACUAUAGCUAAAGGCCUGGCCGACGCGUCUGUUGACCUAAGGUGGAACACUUACACAUGCAGUGGAUAGUGAGGUUUGUCAGUAUCCAGGGGAACUGGCAAUAUUUGAUGAUUCCUAUUUAUUUGUCUGCACAGCAGAACAACUCCUACUGUGCUGUAACGAGUGCAUUAUAGUGAUAGGAUAAGUGCAGAAUUUUACUUGCCAUUAGUGAGUAAUUAAUGUUGUUCUAGGCCCUUAGUUUGUCCUUAUGCUGGCUUGCAGAAGGCUGAAGUCGUCCAUGCUCACCCCAGAGAACACGGAUCUUAUUAAGCAGUCUAUUUUCACCCUUAUAUUUACCCUGAAGAACAUUGAGAGUAUCAGCUCGGACAUCUCUGGGUUCACGGGUGAUGAGACGACAAGGCAGAACAUCAAGCUUCUGAUCAAGUCUCUCAGCAGGCUAUUAUGAUUGUUUUUCAAUGUGCAGAACAGAAUGAUGGAUUGCUUUGCUUUGCUUUGCUUUGUUUGAGACAGGAAUUGAUGCUGGUAGAGUAGGGUGACUGUGUGUGUCUUGGUGGCACAGAGGUGUAGGAAGAGUAGCAGCUAAUUAAUGUUCCACAAGGUUUUGGUUAUUCUGGUAACAAGUUUUUUUUUCUUUUUUCUUUUUUUUUAAAAAAAAAACUCGGAUCAGUAUUGAGCUGUUGUAGGUCAUAUAGUAGGCCCAUUUUUCAUCAGCUGAUGGAUCGCCCUUGUUGGCUGCCUGAGCAAAUGCGCAACUGAUUGUUUCUGUUGUGGAUUGGUGCAACUUGCAAAUGAUUGAAGCUUAUGACGA